GCCGCUCUAGAACUAGUGGAUCCCCCGGGCUGCAGCCCAAUGUGGAAUUCGCCCUUCGCCCGCCGCGCGUGGCGGGCGGGGCGGGGGCCCGGGGGGCCUACGGGAGGCAGCAGUGGGGAAUAUUGCACAAUGGGCGCAAGCCUGAUGCAGCGACGCCGCGUGAGGGAUGGAGGCCUUCGGGUUGUAAAU
rnacentral:rRNA from 1 species